ACAUUAUCCAGAGGGAUAAGCAUAUGAACAGGAGGAAAUAAAGCUAAUUUAGGAAGUGCCGAACCACAGGAUUGUUGACCAUGUGACCUCAAGUUGACCAAAUCCAGUGCUCCUCAAGGAAUGGAGGUCAAAGAGCACAUAAGAAUGUUGGAGAGAAUGUGCUGCUGAGGAAAGGAGAAGAAAAGCUAGAUAUAAGUUUUUCAAUAUAUCAACAACCAAUGAAUAUGAAGGGGAAGCUAUGAUGUUGCUGUGGAGUUGCUUGUGAGAGUCUUUGUUCUCCAGCAAUUGAAGGUUCAGGUGAACAAUCUAUUCCUGCCUACAACUGUUUAGAAGAUACUGUGAACUGUCAAGCAGUUCUGCUUCCUCAUUAGUGGCCAAUAGCCUAAGCUGUGCUGAAU